rnacentral:rRNA from 1 species
UACGUAGGGCGCAAGCGUUGUCCGGAAUCAUUGGGCGUAAAGAGCUUGUAGGCGGUUUGUCGCGUCUGCUGUGAAAAUCCGGGGCUCAACCCCGGACUUGCAGUGGGUACGGGCAGACUAGAGUGUGGUAGGGGAGGCUGGAAUUCCUGGUGUAGCGGUGAAAUGCGCAGAUAUCAGGAGGAACACCGAUGGCGAAGGCAGGUCUCUGGGCCACUACUGACGCUGAGAAGCGAAAGCAUGGGGAGCGAACAGG